GGGCGGCCCCUGCCCCGGCUGCCGCUCCCCGCGCAGCCCCCGCCGCGGCCCGGACCGCGGCCCGCUCGGUGCGCUCGGCGGGGCCGCUGUCGGCGGCCGGUAUCCCUCCGCCGGGGUCGUCACCCCGGGUCCGCGAGAAUGUCCGCCCUCGGGGCGGGCGGGGGGCGGCGGGGCCGCGGGUCUGCGCUGGCACCGGCGGCGGGGGUCGGACCCUGCCCGGCACCGCGGCGCCGCCGGGGCUGCUCCUUUAAGAGGGGGCCGGGCCCGCCGUGACCCCGCGCGAUGUCCGCCCCUUCCUGGUUGCCAUGGGGACCGCCCGCCGGCGUCCAAAAUGGCGGCGGCGGAGCCGCGCGGAGCUGCUGCUCCUUCCUCCGCCCGGGAAAGAAGGAAGGCGACCGGGGCCUGUCCCCGGCUCCUGAGGCAUCAGCGGCUUUAGCGAGGGCUUGUGCUUGAGCAAGGAGCUCCUUGCCGGGGCAGGACGGGGGUCGCCUGUUAACGCCGGGAAGCGAGCCGGGAGGCGCCUCCAGUAAGUGCUGCAGGCCGGGCCUCCUGAGGGCUGGGAACGCCGGGGCGCGGCCCGGGGAUGUGGUGUCGGUGAGUAGCUGGGCAGCAGGUAAGGGCUGGGUACAAAAAGGGUUAUUUCCAAGCUUUGGUGAAAGUGGGUCUAGACGAGGAGCCUCCGUAUAUGGGAGAUUCCUUCUACCUGGGAAGGGGCUCUGAGCGAGGACCAGAGGAAAGGGGGAAAUAAAAAUCCUUCAAAAUGGUGAGUUAAUAGCCUUGCAAAGAAGUAUAUUCUGUGAUCUCGUAGCCUGAAAAUAGACGUAAGUCUACGCUCAGAAAUGCCUCACAAAUAAAUGAGGUACUAACGUUUAAAGUGAAUAAGUAACAAAUCCUUAAGUAAUGUCACAAUAUUCCUCCUAAGAUAAGUCUAGCUGCACUCUCAGAAUAACUAGAUUAAGGUGGGGGGUGUCAUUCCAGGAAUAUAAAAUUAAACUGCACAUCUGGGAAUGGGAAGGCUAUAUAUAUUUUCCACAUGGUACCUGAAGGUGUUUGUGUAUCCUGCCUAACGCCUCUGUACGUAACUGGUUUUCCAAACAGGGAGAAAAGCAAUGUUAAAUAUCCUGGAAGAGUUUUUUGAACUUUUUCUUUUUUAAAUAUGCUACAAAAUGUGGUCUAUGAAUAUUUUUCAGAAUACUCUAAUAGGAAUCAUCAAUGAGGAAUACUGAACAGUAAACAAAUGAGAUUUAACAGAUCUCGUUAUGAGUUUAUAAGGUUACGAAAUAAAACUGCAAAUAUUCUAUAAUUUUUGUUACAUUUUUUACUUAGUUGACUUUAUAUGCAUGAGAGAUGAACACAAAUGCUUGUGUCUGGCUGGACAUACCGAUUUAGAAGCUGUAAAAUUUCAAAAAUUUUUCUGAGAAAGUUUUUAAAAUCUCACCAGAACAAAAACCACCAAUGUAUUUUGAAACUAGAAGGAAGUUUUUUGUUUGUUUUCAUAAAGUAAACCAAAAUAAUGAACAUAUUUUAUUUCAGGGAAAAAUUGCUGCACAAUAACUGGGAAAUGUAUGCUGAAGUCUUGUAAUGGGCCUGUCCCAUUGACCCCGUGGGAAUCCUAUCAGUGCCCUGCUUGUUCAUGGAAUAUGUAAUUCAGUGUUAUGGGGUAUUUACCAUUCAUUUUUGCACUCAGAUAAUAAAAAUAAGAUGUCCCUUAUUAUUAUUGCAGUCUUCAGUGUUUUGAUUCUCAUAUCUGUUUCCUGUCAAACACUUCAGAUAUCUAUUCUUGGGUUUUCAGUUGCCCAAAUAUAUCCUGAAAACGAACCAGUCAGUUAACAUAACUGUCAGUGUAAGGAAGUUAAAAUUGUUCUGCAAAUGUUUAUUGUACAAAGUCUUACUAGGAACUUGGUGUCAUUGAAAAAUAACUGGUUUAGAUUAUUGGAAAAAUUCAGCUUUGAUUUUUAUGAGGAUAAGAUCAUUUGAGUAUGGUGCAGUGAACAUAUGUAUUUGAAUAUAUCACUAUAUUGUCUGAAGGUAAUUGCCUGAAAGACCUCACAGUCUGUGCCUCCAAUCUUGCACACAGUUACCUGGACACUGAAACUUGCUGCUUUGAAUAGUCCCAUUCUUCAAAGUAAGUGGCUUCAGAACUGUCUGUUGGUUUUCUUUAAAAACAAAAAGGGAGUUUGUGGCUGCAUACUGGAUUUGAAUGAAGGCUUCCAUAUUUCUGUAAGUGUUGCCCUACUUUGAAUGGUCUACUUGAGCUUUACAUGAGCAGUAAAUUCAGCUCCUUCAGGAUGAAGUUAUCAAUCUACUGGGCAUGUCUUAUACAGCUCCAGAGUGUUUGUACCUGUGGUCAUUGCCAGGAUUUCCAGCUAUCAACUGACCAUCAAGUCCAGCUGUCACAGAGCCAGAAAUCCUGUACAAAUACAAAAUAUCUUAAGAAUGGCUUAGGGCAAGAAAUUUAGUUGGACAAAGAGGCCAUAUCAGAGAGGUAAAAACAAGUCCCUGGCAGCAGCCUUUGUGUUCAAAUGAGUCAUGUGAAAUGUCUGUGGCUUUUGUGUAGCUUUUUCCCCUGUUCAAGGGAAUUGACAUCCUUCUUCUGUCCUGCAACCUGAUAGCUUGAGGAUGUUCUCCAGAAGGCAUUUUUGAAGUCUGCUGUGCCUGCCUCGAGUCACUACAGUAGGCCCAACGUGCUGUAUAACUAAAAAUAAGUUAACGGGAAGUACUGUAAAUGAACAUAAAGGAUGUCUCUGAGAGUAGAGUUAAGUAUACACUAAGUUUGCUGAAGCUAAGUAUAGGACAAUAGUCAAAUAAAGAGGACAAGACAAACAGAGAACCUAGAAUGUGACACUACAGGGGCACACUAGUUUCUGCAUGGGCUGCUUCAAGGAGGAAGAGUAAGAAGAAGGGGGAGUCCUGUAACUCAUUGCAAAUAACUUUUCCAAAAGGAGACUACAUAGGUGCAGAUGCAUAAAUGAGCAUUCAUGGAAUACAGUUCAACCAGCUGGAUUGUGUAAAAGGAGAAAUCUUUUUGAGCCAUCAGUGAAAAUAAUUUUUUUUUUCAAGUAGCUAUUUCAAGUCAGCAAUCAUAAUCUUACAAAUGUAGAGAAACUACUGAACAUAUUUCCCCUGUGUGGGCAUCUGCCAGUUCCACUGCAGAAAAAUAAGACUCAAAAAGACGACUCCAGGUCAUCAAGUCCUAGUGCCUGCUGUUUCAUUCAGCCACAUAAAUGGGACAUAGCAUAAAUGGGAUUUGAUAUGUUUCAAAGGUAGUGAGGGUUUUUCACACAGAACAAUUGCUCCAGACCAUCACUUCUCUGAUGGUUAGAAAGGCAGUUAUGCAGACUAAUUUACAGCUUCUUCUUUUUGGAUAUCUUGUGUGUAGGUAACAAUGCUGUAUAUGUGUGUGUAUAAUAGUGUGGUUCUUUGAGGCUCCUUCUUAGGCCCAGUGCUCUUCAACCUCUUCAUAAAUGACUUGGACACAGGUCUCCAGGGGAUACUGAGCAAGUUUGCAGAUGCCACGAAACUGGGAGGAGCUGUUGACUCCCUCGACGGCACUGCAGAGAGACCCCCACAAAUUAGAGGGCUGGGCAAUCACCAACCAUGUGAAGUCCAACAGGGGAAAGUGCUGAAUUCUGCACCUGGGCUGGGGCAACCCUGGAUGUACGGGCAGACUGGGGAAUGAGAUGCUGGAAAGCAGUGCCAGGAAAAGGACCUGGGGGUCCUGGUCGGUGGCAAGAUGAAUGUGAGUCAGCAGUGCCCUGGCAGCCAGGAGGGCCAACCGUGUCCUGGGGGCAUCAGGCAAAGCAUCACCAGCCAGGUGAGGGAGGGGAUUGUCCCGCUCUGCUCUGCACUGGGGCAGCCUCACCUGCAAUAUUGUGGCAGUUUUGGGCACCACAACAUAAGAAAGAUAAUAAGCUAUUAGAGAGUGUCCAAAGGGGGGCAACAAAGAUGGUGAAGGGCCCCCAGACUGCUCUGAGUUGUUGUGAAGGAGAAGCUGGUGUACAUGUCAGGAUAAACAUACUAAAUAGAAAAACAUGCUUGGCCAUAAAGUGUGUACUAGGAAUCCUGCUAGAAUUCAUGGGAACAGUGAAUAGCUUUUGUUUUGUGUGAGUGCAUGUAAUAUUACAUUUUCUCAAGACUGACAUGAGGGAUGGCAAUUUGUGUCACGUAUGCCUUUCCAUUAUCUUUCACUGUACGUGUUUUUCACUCUUGAAAUGCCAAAUUAAUAUUUGAUAUGCCAGUUAUAAUUUGGCAGGGUUUAUCACAAACAAUAGAUGUUAUCUGUUUGUACAAAGCAAGUGAUAAAUCAUAUGGCCUCCAACAUUAAAUGUAAGAUGGCUUAAAAGAGCCACACAAAUAACUCUUUAAAAUAAAAUUUCUUAUAAAUUUUCUAACAGAUGAUAAGUACAGGUUUUGAAAAGUGCAGUGAGAGGAAUCCAGAUGGUGGGGUAGUGUAGAAAAGAUGGGUCACUCAUUUUGGUCAAACAAGGAAUAUAGACACACAUCCCCCACUCCCCCCCAAAAAAAGUCUGGUGCUUAAUCUGCUUAUAGGGCAGGCUGAUAACUAGAAUGAUGAGGCUGGUAACAAAAGAAACGUAAUGGGAAAAUGAUCCACUCGACAUGUAAUUAAUACCAGCAUCUGUCACCAUUUAAUGAAUGCUGCACUAAUCAGAGGAUUUUGUCAUGUUAGUAAAAUGUGGAGCUACUUCCCUGUAAAAGGCAGACCUCACCCAUACACAACAGCCCCGGCAUUGUGUGCAAUAUUCCACACAGGGGCUGCUCACACAACAGUCAGGAUGGCUGAACUUUGUCAAAUAUGCCACUGCAGAAUUGUAUGUUUGGUCAGAGCUCAGCAACUGCAUUCUCUAGCAAAUAUAUACAGGCCAUGUAGAUGAGCAAACAGUGCAAGUAACCAGGCAAACAGUUCUGAUGGAUGUUCUUGUUCUUUACCCCUCACUGCUCCUAUUGUUUAGUGUUCGCCUCUACAUCUUCAAUCAGUUUCUGAUUAAAUCAAUACAUUCUGAACACAGCAUGUUAUUUUGGGUACUGAGAACUACAGUAUUUUUUUAAAAGACCUUAUAAUUAAUUGUUUUAAUUGAAAAAAUAAAGUUGUUUUCUGGCUUUUUAGUUUUAAGUAAAAAUUCUGAACCUACAGCACUAAAAUCUUUAAGAAUGUUUUUUUAAAAAUCCCUUCUCAAUAAACAAUUCUAUGUCUAAUCCCUGUAAGUACUAAAUUAAAAAAAAACACAACAACAAAACCCAAACAAAAACCAACAAACCACAUAUGGAAAAAAACCCACUUACAAAUUAUCAUUUUCAAUAAAAUUUCAAUUUUAGGAGACAUAUUAAUAAGUGAUUAUUGUAAUGAUUGUGGGCUAGUUGAUUUUCAGUUGUGAGUACCUUUGGGUUUUAUUAAACCUGCAAGGAUAGCUCCUCCAUUUGGGUAAAAAAGGUAUUAUAAAGUUAACUAUUGAAUGCUGGCCUUGUUUUUAAGUCUUAAUGAUGACAUUUGAUAUGUAACCUAUUUGAUUGACAGGAGAUGCCAUUUGAAGUGCUUAAGCCAGAUGGAUUGGAGGGGGGGGAAUUAACAGAUGUUAUAAUAGUAAUUGAGCUGAAAUUAAUUUCAUGUUAUACAAAACAGUGUUUUUGAAAGAUGUCUUAUUUUAAGUAAAGAUCUGUGGGAGAUGAACCUUCUUCAAAAUUCUGCUAUUUUAUUUGCAUUUGAAACCUGGAGGAUGCCAUACCAAUUAUUGCCUAUCUGGACCUAUUCUAUUUAAGUCUCUUCUUUGACUUUUCAAAGCAAGAAUUUGUUCUUAACAAACAAAAACAGCACAGAAAUUUUUCUAGAGGGCAUUUAAAAAAAUUAUAUUUUUUUAUUAACUAUCUGUAUGGAGGACUUUAAUUGCAUAAAACUAGGAACUUGUUGUUGUCUUAAGUUAGAAACCUUUCAAGCAUAGUUUGAUGAGCUCAGAAAGAAGCCAUUUUGUCCCAGCUCAGAAAAUGUUCUGUUGUGCUUAAAAAGUGUAUUUCCAAAACAGUCAAACACUUUCAUGGUAAUGGUAUCACACACUAUUAAGCAAUUAUUAUCAGCAGAAUGUUUGUUAAUCCUAAAAUACAUAGGGAAAUCUCCUUUGCUUUUUUGCUGUCUCUAAUUCAGACAUCGAAGGAAACAGUAGAGCUGCUUGGAAAAUGGAGACAGUUUCUCUGGGGAACUAAUGCUGUGUUGGAAAGACAUGAAUACUGUUGUCAGGUAUUUCUGUGCAAGGCUAAAAUCUGUUGGUUUAGCAACGUUGUGAUGUUGUGUUAGAGUUCAGAUGCCUCUUAGUACCUCUCACUUCUUCCAUGAAGCGCCACCUCUGGAUGUGUGCAGUUGCUAGGUCUUAUCCAUAACGUUUUGGGGAAGAUUUGGGAAUUCUUUAGUCAUGCUGCAAAUUGAAGAUGUAAUCCAGCACAAGAACCCAACUGACAUAUGGGCUUUUAACAAGUGCAAUGCAGUUUCUGAUGUGUAGCCCUAGCAGUGCUGGCAUUCCAGGGCUUUCCUUACUGGCGGGUCAAGAUUUCUCUACAGAAGCAUCACAUACAGCCAUGUCAGUGGUGAGCUUCUUCCUUUCCAGAAGACUCAGUUCUCUCUUUUUUGAGGGGUGGUUGUUUUGGGGUUUUUUCCCCCCACAAACUUUACUAAACUGUGUGAAACUCUGUGAAACAUUUAUUUAUGAUUUGAAAUUAGAAAUAUAACUGGUUCUGAGUCCUUAAGUAGUUAUUACUUGUAAAGUUCAGUUGUUUGUGAGCCUAUGAUAACUCUGUACUGUUGUGUGGGCUUAUAAAAUUCUUUCUGUAGUAGUUGACCUGUCCUUUGAGGAUGCAGUGGAAUAUUCUUGUAUCAAUUUCAAUUAAGGUAUGUUAAAGAUGAUAAAAUAAUCUUAGUUAAUUCUCUGUUACCAUUGUUUGCUAUUACUCUGGUUUUUCUGUAUCACUGGUGGCCUAGAGAUAUAUUUUUUUCUUUUGUGUCAGCUGGGUUUUGUCUCCUCAUAACUAGUCUUUAAUAUACAGAGAGCAGUGGCACGCAGAAUUGCAAUGUUUAAGCUCCCAUUUUAAGUUUUAUGUAUGAUUUUAAUGUUUGUGGCUUUCUUCAAAAGUAUUAUGCUUGAUCUAGUCCUACCUGCCAAGGAUGAUUUCCAGGUCAUGAAGGUAUAAUAGUUUCUCAAGGUAAGCAAUCACAACUACCUUCUGCUUAAUUAAGUCAACAUUUCCUGCUGUACCCAAAUGUUGCUCACAUGUUCAUUAUUGUCAGUGCUUCUUCCAGAGAAAGAUUUAGUUAUAUUUUUCACUUGCCUUACUUUAGGUAGUACAUCCUUGUCCAUGUUGUUCUCUCUCUUGGGAUUCUUCAGGAGUAAUUCUACUUUUGUUUUGCCAAAGUAGAAGAUACAAGGGCUCCUUCACUGCACAGGGAAAUGAGAGCUUGGACUGCAGUGACAAAUCCAAGGGUGAAAACAAAGACUGGGGAUUUAGGCCAUUCACCUGGGACAGAGGAAAAUGUUUAGCUCUAGAUCUCCUGAAUCUCAACAACACUAUUUUCUAGAUUCUGCAGUCACCUUCCUUCUCCAGUGAAUGUUUAGCUAUUUAAAGGAGAACAAUUUAAGGGGAAAAUUAAUCUCCCUAUAACCUUUAAUCUGAGGAAUUAUAUUUUGAGUUUCUGCAGCCGAGUCUGGAGAAGUUUGAAAUCCUAAAAAUGUGUAUUGGGGAAGGAAGAAGUUCCUUGUAUGUGCCUUUGUACAGAGCUUCACAAUUCACACCGUCUGUCUUGACCUUCCCCCAGAGGUUUCUCAAUAGACAACGUGAGUCUGUCAUGUGAGACUUGUCUUUACUUAUAUAACUUUCAAAAUGGAUUAAAUUAAGGGAAGGUUGAGGCCAGCAUCCUUAAAAGAUGGCUCACCAUAUGACAAAUUUCAAAUAUUAUUUUCUCAUGCUAUGUAAAUAGUAACUAUGCUUCUGGGAAUUUGCAGUCCAGAUUAAUUUUGACAAUACAUACUUACUAAAUAGUUCGUUUUUUGCUAAUUUUCACUUAAAUAUUUUGGUUGUUUUAUUUGUUUAAAAAUUUCCUAUGACUUUUUACCUGAAGCCUUCUCUGGUUGCUGCUGUUUAGAUUUGGUUUUGCUCUUCCUUUCCUCUUCUCUCUUUUUUCAUGAAGAAAUGCCAACAGAAUAAGCAAUGUGGCAGUGAAUUGCUUUAACACUUGCACCUCCAAAUAACAUCCAGAAUGGAAUGUGUCCAUGGUAACCAGGAUGCACUUACAACACUUUCCAUUCCUCAUCUUUUUAAUCUAUGCAAAUAAUAUAGGUACUACAAAGUCUGUGCAUUAUUUUUAUUUGAAAUAACCACAUGCUAAGAAAUUAUCAAGGUAAUUGCAGAUUGUCCCGGGUAUUUGUACAUAAGGAAGUUUUUUAAUGCAAUUGACAGUUUGUUCCACUGUAAAUCAAAGAAUAAUGUUUAGAAAAAUCACUGGUGUUCAACAAAAUUACUUGAAUAUUUUACUUUUCCUGUGCCUCUGCAUGUUGGCCUGAUCUUUCCAUUUUGGCAGAGAGUUCUACUGCAGUGUGCUUCCUGGUAUAACAAUUAAAAGGAGGUAAGAUUAUGGAAAUAUGUAUUGCUGUAGUUUUUUUUAAAUUAGUAUUAAAAUGCUUUGGAAUUUAUACUUCCACACAAUAAUGCUAGAAAGUAAAUUUUCAUAGCCAUGUUAAAACAUCUGUUGUAAUGCACAGGGGUAUUUAAUUUGUAGAGUGUUGACUUAGUGUUUCAUUUUAGAGUUUGUUGGAUUGUAUAAAGAUAAAAAUCUGAUUCAAGAGUCUAUAGACACAUAUGCCCACUCUAGUGUUUGGAUUAAAGACGUUCUUGUACACUCACAUAAAGUUACAUUACAGAUAAAUACACUCACACACACAAAAUACUAAACAAAAAAUACAUGGAAUACUUGCUGUGAAAAGUUUGUCUUGCUUACACCAGUGCAGAAUUUCAGUAUCUGCUAUCUGUAUACACUUUGUUCUGUUGUACUGUAUAUCCCAUACUGAAAAGUAUUGAUUAAUGUAUUUCAUUUACACAUUGUAAUCUGUGGUGCAAUAUAUUUCUGCUUUUUUAAGAA